rnacentral:rRNA from 1 species
GAUGAACGCUGGCGGCGUGCUUAACACAUGCAAGUCGAACGAAGCACUUUAUUUGAUUUCCUUCGGGACUGAUUAUUUUGUGACUGAGUGGCGGACGGGUGAGUAACGCGUGGGUAACCUGCCUUGUACAGGGGGAUAACAGUUGGAAACGGCUGCUAAUACCGCAUAAGCGCACGGCAUCGCAUGAUGCAGUGUGAAAAACUCCGGUGGUAUAAGAUGGACCCGCGUUGGAUUAGCUAGUUGGUGAGGUAACGGCCCACCAAGGCGACGAUCCAUAGCCGACCUGAGAGGGUGACCGGCCACAUUGGGACUGAGACACGGCCCAAACUCCUACGGGAGGCAGCAGUGGGGAAUAUUGCACAAUGGGCGAAAGCCUGAUGCAGCGACGCCGCGUGAGCGAAGAAGUAUUUCGGUAUGUAAAGCUCUAUAAGCAGGGAAGAUAAUGACGGUACCUGACGAAGAAGCACCGGCUAAAUACGUG